rnacentral:rRNA from 1 species
GAUGAACGCUGGCGGCGUGCCUAAUACAUGCAAGUCGAACGAAACUUCUUUAUCACCGAGUGCUUGCACUCACCGAUAAAGAGUUGAGUGGCGAACGGGUGAGUAACACGCGGGCAACCUGCCCAAAAGAGGGGGAUAACACUUGGAAACAGGUGCUAAUACCGCAUAACCAUAGUUACCGCAUGGUAACUAUGUAAAAGGUGGCUAUACUACCGCCUUUGGAUGGGCCCGCGGCGCAUUAGCUAGUUGGUAGGGUAAAGGCUUACCAAGGCAAUGAUGCGUAGCCGAAUUGAGAGGUUGAUCGGCCACAUUGGGACUGAGACACGGCCCAAACUCCUACGGGAGGCAGCAGUAGGGAAUCUUCCACAAUGGGCGAAAGCCUGAUGGAGCAACGCCGCGUGGGUGAAGAAGGUCUUCGGAUCGUAAAACCCUGUUGUUAGAGAAGAAAGUGCGUGAGAGUAACUGUUCACGUUUCGACGGUAUCUAACCAGAAAGCCACGGCUAACUACGUG